rnacentral:lncRNA from 1 species
GACCGGAGCGAGGCGCUUCCGUCGCAGCACUGUCUGUAGUGAUCCACCGCCGCUUCACACAGGACGCUCCGGUGGCACUUGGCGCACUUAACGUCGAAGCUUCGGCAAUGACGCAAGUGGUCUCUCAGUUCGGACAAUUUUCCGGCGAAGUUAGCACACUUCUUACCGCCUACGAUGCACUGGACACGCAGCUUCUCGAGGUCGGACAGCUCGAAGCGAAGCCGCACAAGUUCGCCUUUCGAGAAUGUUCUUCCGUCGAAGGGGCACUCCAUUCUUUCGAACACUUGGCCUUGGCAUUCUUCGCACAAAACGUGACCGCAGGGUAACAGUUCCGAG